CAGCUCGGCGGAGAGCUUCUGCCGUGCCGCCUCGGUUGCCUUCUGUAAGUGUGCCGCCGUUUGGGGACGUUUCUCAAUAAAAAAAGAAAAAAAAGUGUGGAAACUUUGAGCUGGGUUUUGCGGUCGCUGGGGUUUGGGCUCGGGGUUUGGCGGCUCUCCAGGCAGCAGAACCGCGGCGGAGCCUGGAAGCAGGGGGGGGAAAUUUGUCACCGCUUUGGAAACGGGGAUCUGCCUCGGGAUCUUCUCCGCUCAAAGGGCUGCAUUUACACCUAAAAAAAAAGAAAAAAACAAGAAAAUUGGGAAACCUCUCUGUGUUGCAGUUGUAUUUGGGCUUCUGUGCGGUGGACGCGUGCCCUCUGGUGACAGCAGCGAGCAGGCAGGCGCAGAUUUAUGUGGUAAUGUCUCCUCCUCCUGCUUUUUCCCAUGAUUUUGGGAAAUUAUUGAAGUUUUUGGAGCUGUGGAGGAGCAGGAGGCUGGGCUCCUCUCUGCAGAACGGGGCAGGGAAAUUAAAAAUAAGGAUUAAUGAUGCUCGGCGUUGGCCACCACCGACGCGAGCCCUUGUGGUUUGUUGUGCCCGGUGCCAACCCUCACUGAGGGAGUGACGGGGAGCAGAACUGACGUUGUUAAACGUUAAUGUGUUAGGAGAAGGUGUAUGGAAAAACAAAAUGUUAAUGUGUGUGGAAAAAAAGCGAUUUUGGGGUGGAUUUAGGGGGCGGAGGGCCCCGGCGCUCCCUUUGGCCACCCCUUGCCACGGAGGUGACUCAGGGGGGUGACGUGGCUGGCCGCCGGGCACCGAAAAUCGGUGCGGUUUCGACAUGUUUGGGAAAAAUUUGUGGUGUGUGGGAGAGGCGGGCGUGGGAGCCGCGUUCACGGCACACGUAAUCCCCCUGGGUGGGGGGAGAGGCGGCGGCGCCAUGCCUGGGGGCAGCUCCCGGGAGGGACACCGACCCCGUCAACCCCCCGCGGCCCUGCCCCGGGCUCCCACCGAGCCCCGAGGCCGCUUCACGCCGGUUCUGACACCGGGGAGAGGCUCGGGGAGGGCUCGGAGCGGCCCCGGGGCAGCCCCGCGGCGGGUCACAAGAUGGCGCCGGGCCGCCAUCACCUCAGCCGACCCCCCCCCCCCCCCCCCCCUCCCCCCCCCCGGCGCGGUGCAUGCCGGGAAGGGAGCCCCGCCGGGAGCCCGCCAUUUUCUGUCAGGGCUGGCGGGAAAGGCGGGAAGGGAGCGAGCGCAGCCCCAGCGCCGCCGCGGGACUCCCACCGGCUCCAGCGGCCGCCGCCAGCCACGCACCAGCCCCUGACGAGCCCCCGGGAUGGCCCGCACCAAGCAGACGGCCCGCAAGUCCACGGGCGGCAAGGCGCCGCGCAAGCAGCUGGCCACCAAGGCGGCCCGGAAGAGCGCCCCGUCCACGGGGGGCGUCAAGAAGCCCCACCGCUAUAGGUAACGCCCAAAAAUGCACAAAACGGCACAAAAACACCCAAAAACAGCACAAAAACACCACA
rnacentral:lncRNA from 1 species